rnacentral:rRNA from 1 species
AUUGAACGCUGGCGGCAGGCCUUACACAUGCAAGUCGAGCGAGCGGCGGACGGGGGAGUAGUGUUUGGGGAUCUGCUCCCUAGAGGGGGAUAACUACUGGAAACGGUAGCUACUACUGCCUACUGUCGGAUGAACCCCUAUGGGAUUAGCUGGUAGGUGGGGUAAUGGCGCACCUAGGCGACGAUCCCUAGCUGGUCUGAGAGGAUGAUCAGCCACACUGGGACUGAGACACGGCCCAGACUCCUACGGGAGGCAGCAGUGGGGAAUAUUGCACAAUGGGCGCAAGCCUGAUGCAGCCAUGCCGCGUGUAUGAAGAAGGCCUUAGGGUUGUAAAGUACUUUCAUUAGGGAGGCGUUACCGACAGAAGAAGCACCGGCUAACUCCGUGCCAGCAGCCGCGGUAAUUC